rnacentral:rRNA from 1 species
AAUACAUAGCUUAAUGAGGGGAACUCAGGGAACUGAAACAUCUAAGUACCUGAAGGAAGAGAAAGAAAUUCGAUUCCGUAAGUAGCGGCGAGCGAACGCGGAUUAGCCCAAACCAAUAAAGUUUUCUUUAUUGGGGUUGAGGACAUACCACAUAUAAGAGGUCAUUAUAGACGAAGAAGUUUGGAAAAACUCAUCAUAGAAGGUAAUAAUCCUGUAGUCAAAAUAAUAAUUCUUUAGGUAUGAUCCAGAGUACCACGGGACACGUGAAACCCUGUGGGAAGCAGGAGGGACCACCCUCAAAGGCUAAAUACUACCUAGUGACCGAUAGCGUAUAGUACCGUGAGGGAAAGGUGAAAAGAACCCCGGGAGGGGAGUGAAAUAGAACCUGAAACCCUGCACUUACAAGCUGUGGAAGCACAUUUCUUG